rnacentral:rRNA from 1 species
UUUAUGGAGAGUUUGAUCCUGGCUCAGGAUGAACGCUGGCGGCGUGCCUAAUACAUGCAAGUCGAGCGAACAGAUAAGGAGCUUGCUCCUUUGACGUUAGCGGCGGACGGGUGAGUAACACGUGGGUAACCUACCUAUAAGACUGGAAUAACUCCGGGAAACCGGGGCUAAUGCCGGAUAACAUGUUGAACCGCAUGGUUCUACAGUGAAAGACGGUCUUGCUGUCACUUAUAGAUGGACCCGCGCCGUAUUAGCUAGUUGGUGGGGUAACGGCCUACCAAGGCGACGAUACGUAGCCGACCUGAGAGGGUGAUCGGCCACACUGGAACUGAGACACGGUCCAGACUCCUACGGGAGGCAGCAGUAGGGAAUCUUCCGCAAUGGGCGAAAGCCUGACGGAGCAACGCCGCGUGAGUGAUGAAGGUCUUCGGAUCGUAAAGCUCUGUUGUUAGGGAAGAACAAAUGUGUAAGUAACUGUGCACAUCUUGACGGUACCUAACCAGAAAGCCACGGCUAACUACGUGCCAGCAGCCGCGGUAAUACGUAGGUGGCAAGCGUUAUCCGGAAUUAUUGGGCGUAAAGCGCGCGUAGGCGGUUUUUUAAGUCUGAUGUGAAAGCCCACGGCUCAACCGUGGAGGGUCAUUGGAAACUGGAAAACUUGAGUGCAGAAGAGGAAAGUGGAAUUCCAUGUGUAGCGGUGAAAUGCGCAGAGAUAUGGAGGAACACCAGUGGCGAAGGCGGCUUUCUGGUCUGCAACUGACGCUGAUGUGCGAAAGCGUGGGGAUCAAACAGGAUUAGAUACCCUGGUAGUCCACGCCGUAAACGAUGAGUGCUAAGUGUUAGGGGGUUUCCGCCCCUUAGUGCUGCAGCUAACGCAUUAAGCACUCCGCCUGGGGAGUACGGUCGCAAGACUGAAACUCAAAGGAAUUGACGGGGACCCGCACAAGCGGUGGAGCAUGUGGUUUAAUUCGAAGCAACGCGAAGAACCUUACCAAAUCUUGACAUCCUUUGACCGCUCUAGAGAUAGAGUUUUCCUCUUCGGAGGACAAAGUGACAGGUGGUGCAUGGUUGUCGUCAGCUCGUGUCGUGAGAUGUUGGGUUAAGUCCCGCAACGAGCGCAACCCUUGAACUUAGUUGCCAUCAUUCAGUUGGGCACUCUAAGUUGACUGCCGGUGACAAACCGGAGGAAGGUGGGGAUGACGUCAAAUCAUCAUGCCCCUUAUGAUUUGGGCUACACACGUGCUACAAUGGACAAUACAAAGGGCAGCGAAACCGCGAGGU